ACGACUCUCGGCAAUAGAUAUCUCAGCUCUCGCAUCGAUAAAGAAUAUAGCAAGAUACGAUACUUGGUGUGAAUUGCAGAAUCCCAUGAACCAUAGAGUAUUUGAACGCAAGUUGCGCCCGAAGCCAUUAGGACGAGGGCACGUCUGCCUGGGCGUCACACAUCCCAUCGCACGUUCGUAUCGUGCCUCAAUCACGGGGUGAGCUGUUGUUGUGGGGCGGAUACUGGCCUCCCGUACACCUUGAGCUCACGGCUGGCCUAAAUGCGAGUCCAUGUCGACGGACAUCGCGGCAAGUGGUGGUAUUAUCUUAACUCUCUUUAUUGUCGCGGCUAUAGCCCGUCGCGCGUCUGAACUACAGGACCCUUUCACACAUAGGCACUCUGAUUGUGAUCCCAGGUCAGGAGGGAUUACCCGCUGAGUUUAAGCAUUUCAAUAAGCGGAGGAAAAGAAACUUACAAGGAUUCCCUUACUAACGGCGAGCGAAUCGGGAACAGCCCAUCCUUAGAAUCGGGCAGCUUCAUCGUCCGAAUUGUAGUUUGGGGAAUCGUCCUCAGCGGCGGACCGGGCCCUAGUCCCCUGGAAGGGGGGUGCCAGAGAGAAUGAGAGCCCCAUUGUGACUGGACCCUAUCGCACCACGAGGCACUGUCUACGAGUUUAGUUAUUUGGGAAUGCAGCCUAAAUCGGGCGGUGAAUUUCGUCUAAGGCUAAAUACGGGCGACAGACCGAUAGCAAAAAAGUACCGGGAGGGAAAGAUGAAAAGGACUUUGAAAAGAGAGUCAAAGAGUGCUUGAAAUUAUUAGGAGGGAAGCGGAUGGGGGUCGGCUAUGCGCCACAGUCGAAUGUGGAAUGGCAAUGAGCCGUUCCACCGAUCGACUCGGGGCAUGGACCAGUGUGGAUUGGGGGCGGCCAAAGCUCGGGCUCUUGAUACGCUCGUGGAAUGCCGUCUCCUCGCUCGGGCAUCUACGCGCUACAGACGCUGGCCUGUGGACUCCUCAUUUGACCCAUCUUGAAAAAUGGUCCAAGGAGUCUGACAUGUGUGCGAGUCAAUGGACGAGUAAACCCGUAAGACGUAAUGAAGCUGAUCGGUGGUAUCCCCCUGAGGGGUGCACCGUCGACCGACCUUGAUCUUCUGAGAAGGGUUCGAGUGUGAGCAUACCUGUUGGGACCCGAAAGAUGGUGAACUAUGCUUGAGCGGGGUGAAGCCUGAAGAAAACUCAGGUGGAGGCCCGCAGCGAUACUGAUGUGCAAAUCAUUUGUCUAACUUGGGUAUAGGGACCACGGCUGCUUUGUCAAGCCAUGGCAUGGAAUUAAGAGCUCCAAGUGGGCCAUUUUUGGUAACCAGAACUGGCGAUGUGGGAUGAACUGCAAGUCGGGUUACGGCGCCAUACUGCACGCUAACCUAGAUCUCACAAAGUAUGUUGGUCGAUUAAUACAGCAGGACGAUGGUCAUGGAAGUCAAAAUCUGCUAAGGAGUGUGUAACAACUCACCUGCCGAAUAAACUAGCCCCAAAAAUGGAUGGCGCUUAAGCGCGCGACCUACACCCAGCCGUCAAGGAAAGUUCUAGGCCCCGAUGAGUAGGAGAGUGCGGCGGUCGCUACAAAACCUUGGGCGCAAGCCCGGGCAGAGCGGCCAUCGGUGCAGAUAUAUGUGGUAGUAGCAAAUAUUCAAAUGAGAACUUUGAAGACAAAGUGGGGAAGGGUUCCAUGUGAACGCACUUGCACAUGGAUUAGUCGAUCCUAACAGUCGGGGGAACCCCGAUAGAUAACGCAUUUUGUGCGUACUCCGAAAGAGAAUUGGGUUAAAAUUCCUGGACCAAGAUGUGGCGGUCGACGACAAUGUUAGGAAGUCCUAAAACGUCGGCGAGAGCCUCAGGAAGAGUUAUCUUUUAUGUUUAAUAGCUUGCCCACCCUGGAAUCGGCUCAACCGGAGGUAGGGUCUAACGGCUGGAAGAGCACCGCACAUUGUGUGGUGUCCGGUGCACUACCGGUGGCCCUUGAAAAUCCAGAGGACCAAAUGCCGUCCACACUCGGUCGUACUCAUAACCACAUCAGAUCUCCAAGCGGAACAACAUCUGGUCAAUGGAACAAUGUAGGCAAGGGAAGUCGCCAAAAUGGAUCUGUAACUUCUGGAAAAGGAUUGGCACUGAGGGUUGGGAACGAGGGUCCCAGUCCCAAACUCAUCGGCUGUCAGUGGACUACUCGAGAUGCUCCCCCAGUCGAGUUCGGGUCACCGCAUUCCAGUCGGGGGACGGACUGGGAACGAUUUCUUCGGGGGCCUUCCCCGCGCGUCGAACAGCCAACUCAGAACUGUUAUGGACUAGGGGAAUAUGACUGUUUAAUUAAAACAAAGCAUUACAAUGGUCCCAAUGGAUAUUCACGCAUUGUGAUUUCUGCCCAGUGCUCUGAAUGUCAAAGUGAUUAAAUUCAACCAAGCACGGGUAAACGACGAGAGUAAUAUAACUCUUAAGGUAGACAAAUGCCUCGUCAUCUAAUUAGUGAUGCACAUGAAUGGAUUAACGAGAUUACCACUAUCCCUAUGUACUAUCCAGCACAACCACAGCCAAGGGAACGGGCUUGGUAGAAUCAGUGAGGAAAGAAGACCCUCUUGAGCUUGACUCUACUCUGACUUUGUGAAAUUACUUGAGAGGUGUAGUAUAAGUCGAAGCCGAAAGGCGAAAGUGAAAUACCACUACUUUUAAUGUUAUUUUACUUAUUUCGUAAAUCAAAAGUGGGCCACUGUUCCUCUUUUUGGACCCAAGGCUCGCUCUGCGGGCCGAUCUAGGCAGAAGACAUUGUCAGGUAGGAAGUUUGCCUGCGGUGGCACAUCUGUUAAAAGAUAAUGCAGGUAUCCUAAGAUGAGCUCAACUAGAACAGAAAUAUCGUGUGGAACAGUAGGGUAAAAGCUCGUUUGAUUCUAAUUUCCAGUACGAAUACGAACCAUGAAAGCGUGGCCUAACGAUCCUUCAGACCUUUGGAAUUUGAAGCUAAAGGUGUUAGAAAAGUGUUACCAGGGAUAAUUGGCCAGUUGCAGCCAAGCGUUCAUAGCGACGUUACUUUUUCAUCCAUCGUUGUCGGCUCUUCCUAUUAUUGUGAAGCAGAAUUCACCAAGUGUUGGACUGUUUACCCGCCAAUAGGGAAUGUGAGCUAGGUUUAGACUGUCGUGAGAAAGGUUAGUUUUACCCUACUUAUGACAGUGUCGCAGUAGUAAUUCAACUUAGUAAGAGAGGAAAUGUUGAUUCGCACAAUUUGUCAUCGCGCUUGGUUGAAAAGCCAGUGGUUCAAAGCUACCGUGUGCUGGAUUAUGAAUGAACGCCUCUAAGUAAGAAUUCGGGCUAGAAGCGACGCAUGCGCCCACUGUCCGCUUGCUGACCUGCAUUAGGGUCCUCGGCCCCCAAGGGCACGUGUCGUUUGCUAAGCCACCACCGCGGAAGAGUUGCGGUGGCCGCCUUAAUGUAUAAUUUACAUCGAGCGGCGAGUAGAAUCCUUUGCAGAUGACUGAAAUAUGCAACGGGGUAUUGUAAGUGGAAGAGUGGCCUUGCUCCCACGAUCCACUGUGAUUCAUCCCUUUGUU
rnacentral:rRNA from 1 species